rnacentral:rRNA from 1 species
AGAAUCAACGCUGGCGGCGUGCCUAACACAUGCAAGUCGCACGAGAAAGGGGAGCAAUCCCUGAGUACAGUGGCGCACGGGUGAGUAACACGUGAAUCAUCUACCUCCAAGUGGGGAAUAACUGAGAGAAAUCUUAGCUAAUACCGCAUAACACUUACGAGUCAAAGCAGCAAUGCGCUUGGAGAGGAGUUCGCGGCAGAUUAGUUAGUUGGCGGGGUAAUGGCCCACCAAGACGAUGAUCUGUAUCCGGCCUGAGAGGGCGCACGGACACACUGGAACUGAAACACGGUCCAGACUCCUACGGGAGGCAGCAGUGGGGAAUUUUGCGCAAUGGGGAAACCCUGACGCAGCAACGCCGCGUGGAGGAUGAAGUAUCUUGGUACGUAAACUCCUUUCGAUGGGGAAGAUAAUGACGGUACCCAUAGAAGAACGCCCGGCUAACUUCGCGCCAGCAGCCGCGGUAA